rnacentral:misc_RNA from 1 species
GAAAUGCGAUAAGUAAUGUGAAUUGCAGAAUUCAGUGAAUCAUCGAAUCUUUGAACGCAUCUUGCGCUCCCUGGUAUUCCUAGGAGCAUGCCUGUUUGAGUGUCAUUUAAGUUCUCAACCACAUUGGAUUUGUUUUCGGUGUGGCUUGGAUAUGGGGGUAUUUGUUGCAGGCUUUUGAAAAAUGAAGUCAGCUCCCCUGAAAUGCAUUAGUAGUAUCUGAGCAGAAAAAACUACUAUGGGUGUGAUAAUUUAUCUAUGCCCUUGGUAUGGCUGCAUGAACAGAUUGCGCUGCUUCUAACGAGUGUGUAUAAUAACCACAUUUGACAAAUUUGACCUCAAAUCAGGUAGGACUACCCGCUGAACUUAA